CCUACGGGAGGCAGCAGUGGGGGAUAUUGCACAAUGGGGGAAACCCUGAUGCAGCGACGCCGCGUGGGCGAAGAAGUAUUUCGGUAUGUAAAGCCCUAUCAGCAGGGAAGAAGAAAUGACGGUACCUGAGUAAGAAGCACCGGCUAAAUACGUGCCAGCAGCCGCGGUAAUACGUAUGGUGCAAGCGUGAUCCGGAUUUACUGGGUGGAAAGGGAGCGCAGGCGGCACGGCAAGCCUGAUGUGAAAGCCCGCGGCCCAACCGCGGGACUGCAUUGGGAACUACCGGGCUGGAGUGCCGGAGAGGUAGGCAGAAUUCCUAGUGUAGCGGUGAAAUGCGUAGAUAUUAGGAGGAACACCAGUGGCGAAGGCGGCCUACUGGACGGUGACUGACGCUGAGGCUCGAAAGCGUGGGGAGCAAACAGGAUUAGAUACCCUAGUAGUC
rnacentral:rRNA from 1 species